UGUUUCAAAGGCUUGAUUUACAUGAAUACACACGCCUUUAACUGCAGCUGUUACUGUCUAUUGCACUGACCUGGCAGACUUGAAUUACAAGCGUAGUCUGGGCACGGGACUAAACUCCACCGACAUCGAUAACAUUCAGAAUAUCACUGCGAUCACAACUUGAUCAGCGAAAGAAGGACCUCCUGGCGGAUAUUGAAAGGUCUGACGAAAGAGACUCAUCCACUCGACAUUUCCUGCAGCUGUCUUUAACACCAACAACCUGUCAAAGCUGAAAUACAUCGAGGAUUUUGUGAUUUUGUGCCAUCUUGACCAAAGAAAUGGAUAAAGAAGAACAUGCAAAAGACAAGGGAAGCUCAAACUGAAGAUGACUCCGUGGCUGAAAUGGAAACCAAACUUAAGAACCUCCACUUGGUAAAAUAAAAUAA